CUUGACGAAUGUCACACACAAUGAUCAAGUACCGAAAAAGAAAUAGGACCAAACAACUAAUGUGAUAUGUAUAUAAGGCUUAGAUACUGGAGGAAACGUUACUCUGUACAUCGUCGCAGCUUGAAUCAUCAACAAUGAACACCCUCGCUGUUGCACUCUGUUUGGUUCUGGUGGCGAUGGCCUCAGCCACAUAUCCACGAGGAGAAGGAUACGGCCGUGGGGGAAAUGACAUCUGGAACAAUCAAUACCCAAAGCAGGUGGCUAAUAUCAAUCAACAACAGUCCAACAGGCAAUAUGUUGACCAAGAUCAGUUUAACCGCAGAGGAUUCCCCUAUGGCGGCGGCUAUGGCGGCUAUGGCGGCUAUGGCUAUGGCGGCGCUGGCUAUGGCGGCAAGGGUUUCAGAUAUUGAGAUGAUUCACUGUUUGAUGGAAUAUACACACUGAGUAUGUGAAGUGUAUGACGUAAUUUAAUAAACCAUUGCUUCACAUGA